UACGUAGGGGCAAGCGUUGUCCGGAAUUAUUGGGCGUAAAGAGCGCGUAGGCGGUUCCGAUAAGUCGGCCUGUGAAAGUCCCAGGGCUCAACCCUGGAAAGCCGGCCGAUACUGUCGGACUAGAGUCCGGAAGAGGCGAGUGGAAUUCCCGGUGUAGCGGUGAAAUGCGCAGAUAUCGGGAGGAACACCAAUGGCGAAGGCAGCUCGCUGGGACGGUACUGACGCUGAGGCGCGAAAGCG
rnacentral:rRNA from 1 species